ensembl:lncRNA
CAGGAUCGGAACAGAGGCACUGAGCCCAGCCCAGGUCUCUGCCAAAGAGCUCAGACCCCAUAGAAGUGACCAAGCAGCCACAGGUUUAGGGGGAGUCCUUCCCCCCGAAUUGCGCCUUGUCAAUAAGCCAAUGGGAUGAGCUCACUCUGCAAAUCCAGGAUGUUGUAACCACCCUCGAAGGAAUAAGGAAUCGCUUAUGAUGACACGGCUGUGGGCGUGCAGCUGCAUCAGCACCCCCCCUUCACCCAGGCCCAAAUCCGCUGCACCCCCAGCGCAGGGCACGGUGUGCCCAGCUGUCCCCAGCACAGGGCAGUGAGCUGCAGAGACAGUGAUGCACGUGGAACCCAUCCUCCACCACCACCAUCCCCGUGCCACCGUGGGAGCGCUGGGGACAGCGUGUCCCGUGCAAGCAAUCACGCUCAGCUCUGCUGUCAUUGCUGCUGCCUGAGCCCCGGCAAUGCUUAUGAAUAAAUGAAAGGAGAG